rnacentral:rRNA from 2 species
GCGGGCCUAUACAUGCAAGUCGAGCGGAGAUUUGAAAAGCUUGCUUUUCAAAUCUUAGCGGCGGACGGGUGAGUAACACGUGGGCAACCUGCCCUUGAGACGGGGAUAACUCCGGGAAACCGGAGCUAAUACCGGAUAACACAUAUCUUCGCAUGAUGAUAUGUUAGAAGGUGGCUUUUAGCUACCACUCAAGGAUGGGCCCGCGGCGCAUUAGCUAGUUGGUGAGGUAACGGCUCACCAAGGCGACGAUGCGUAGCCGACCUGAGAGGGUGAUCGGCCACACUGGGACUGAGACACGGCCCAGACUCCUACGGGAGGCAGCAGUAGGGAAUCUUCCGCAAUGGACGAAAUCUGACGGAGCAACGCCGCGUGAGUGAUGAAGGUUUUCGGAUCGUAAAGCUCUGUUGUUAGGGAAGAACAAGUAUCUGUUGAAUAAGCAGGUACCUUGACGGUACCUAACCAGAAAGCCACGGCUAACUACGUGCCAGCAGCCGCGGUAAUACGUAGGUGGCAAGCGUUGUCCGGAAUUAUUGGGCGUAAAGCGCGCGCAGGCGGUUCCUUAAGUCUGAUGUGAAAGCCCACGGCUCAACCGUGGAGGGUCAUUGGAAACUGGGGAACUUGAGUGCAGAAGAGGAGAGCGGAAUUCCACGUGUAGCGGUGAAAUGCGUAGAGAUGUGGAGGAACACCAGUGGCGAAAGCGGCUCUCUGGUCUGUAACUGACGCUGAGGCGCGAAAGCGUGGGGAGCGAACAGGAUUAGAUACCCUGGUAGUCCACGCCGUAAACGAUGAGUGCUAAGUGUUAGAGGGUUUCCGCCCUUUAGUGCUGCAGCAAACGCAUUAAGCACUCCGCCUGGGGAGUACGGUCGCAAGACUGAAACUCAAAGAAUUGACGGGGACCCGCACAAGCGGUGGAGCAUGUGGUUUAAUUCGAAGCA